CGCAAGACUUUUUCCCUGCUAUUCUCUUUGUCAGGAGCAUCUUUCUCCUGUUAUUUAUCUGAGCAUUUAUCACUCAUUAUUGUGAUGCUCAGCUCAAAUAUCAUGGUUUCUGAGAGUGCUUCCUUGACCCUAUGAGCUAAAGGAGCCCCCUUCCCACUCAUUCUUUCCCUAUUCCUUUCACUCCUUUAUUUUCUUCACUGUGCUUCUGUCUAAAAUUAUCUUACUUGUUUACAUGCUUAUUGUCCAUUUCCUCUAAUGCCAGUGAGGGAGAUGGUAUCAAGAACAGAGUAUCAAGAACAGAGUCUGGCACAUAGUAGCCUUUCAAUAAACAUGUAAUAAAUGUAUGAAUUAUUUUUUCAUUAAGAGAACAGAUGGUAGAAACUAUGAUAGGUUCUAGAAUAUGAUAGAGUAUUUACUUAUUACCUAGGUCUGCUGUGACAAAUUACCACAAACUUGAUGGCUUAAGGCAACAAAAGCCCCCCUUCCUUGCCUCUUCCAGCUUCUGGUGACUGUUGGCAUUCACUGCCUUGUGGUAGCAUCCUCUGCUCUGUCUUCAAUGACCUUCUCCUCUUUGUGUCUGUUCCUAAUAUUCCUCUGCCUCUCUCUUAUAAGGAUUCAUGUGAUGGCAUUUAGGGCCCACCAGG
rnacentral:lncRNA from 1 species